CAGCAGCCGCGGUAAUACGUAGGGUGCGAGCGUUAAUCGGAAUUACUGGGCGUAAAGCGUGCGCAGGCGGCUUUGCAAGACAGAUGUGAAAUCCCCGGGCUCAACCUGGGAACUGCAUUUGUGACUGCAAGGCUAGAGUACGGCAGAGGGGGAUGGAAUUCCGCGUGUAGCAGUGAAAUGCGUAGAUAUGCGGAGGAACACCAAUGGCGAAGGCAAUCCCCUGGGCCUGUACUGACGCUCAUGCACGAAAGCGUGGGGAGCAGACAGGAUUAGAUACCCUGGUAGUUCACGCCCUAAACGAUGUCAACUGGUUGUUGGACGGCUUGCUGUUCAGUAACGAAGCUAACGCGUGAAGUUGACCGCCUGGGGAGUACGGCCGCAAGGUUGAAACUCAAAGGAAUUGACGG
rnacentral:rRNA from 1 species